CAACUACUCCCUCUGUCCCAAAUUUCUUGUCUUAGAUUUUUCUAGAUACGGAUGUAUCUAAUACUAAAAUGUGACUGGAUACAUCCGUAUCUAGACAAAUCUAAGACAAGAAUUUUGGGACAGAGGGAGUACUUU
rnacentral:pre_miRNA from 1 species